CGGCGUUCCCGCAGCCUCUCAGUGCAGCUGGCGAGAAGGUGGGCUGGUGCUGGGGUGGAGCCAAUCCUCCGCCUGGGGGAGCCUCCCUGAGGCCGGGAAAGGGGUGGGUGCCCCCCCCACCGCAGCCCCCAUCUCAGACCAGGGGCGGUGGGGGCUCACUGCAGCGCUGUCACUCCUGCUCCCCAUGUAUCUGGCUGGGGCAUCCCCCAGGCAGGCUUGUUUAGUUGACGUGACCAAAAGAAAAUUAGUUGUCCCCAAAAGUUCCCAGGCACAGAACUCUGGUGAGCUGCCCCUGGCCUGUACCUGCCCCCAGCGUCUGCAAAACACCCCCACGCUGCGGCGGGAGCAGCCCUCUGCUCACUGCACCAAGGCACUGGCCUGCAAAACACCCCCACGCUGCAGCCGGAGCAGUCCCCUGCUCACUGCACCAAGGCACUGCCCUGCAAAACACCCCCACGCUGCAGCCGGAGCAGCGCCCUGCACUGCACCAAGGCACUGGCCUGCACAACACCCCCACGGUGCAGCCGGAGCAGCGCCCUGCACUGCACCAAGGAUUUAACAUCUGCUGGACUAUUCUUGCUGUUGGUCCCAGGAUUGAACCUUUCUGUGAUGAUCUUCAGAGCCCACAUUUGAUGAAUUUAAGACUGCCAGCAUUUCCAUGGAAACCCCCAAAAAUAAAGACUUUCCCAGCCUUGUGAGAACACACCUGCAAGAACCAGAAUCACAUUUCGCCUUUGGCCUCUCAAAAGUGACACUCCUCCAUUUUGGUGUCACCUAAGGACAUUUGUUUUUACACUAGGUAUGGAUAUGUGCUCUCAACAUUUGCAGAAAGUAUAUAUUAAUUUAAAAUUGCUAUCAUUUGAACUCUUGCCAUUGAGUAGUAACAAAUGUGUUUUGCUAUCCAACAACUCUCUCUUUAAAAUGUUACUUCAUUCUCUUUUUAAGGGAAAAUAAAUAAACAAAAGGAAUUGCUCUAAAGACCACAGAGCUGAGGUUUGCAGUCCUGAGAUAACAGAACUAAGGAUCGUUAGAAAUAAGAAUUGUGUUUAGAUCUUUUUAAAUUGCUAAUCUUGUACAUAUACGCUUUUAGAUACAAAGCCAAAUUUUCAGCAUCCCAGUUUCAAACUUUUCAUGCCCAACCACUUUUGCCAUGUGACUACCCCAUACGUAAAGAAAACUGAAUUGUCAUGUGCAACAUGACUGCACACCAUUUUUUCCUCCACGUGCCUACUUUUUUCCCCAAACACAGUCAGUUGCGGAUGCAAAGCUAGAUUCACAAAAUCAAAGGCUGGCUAAAAAUUUGUCCUGUAGGGGUUUUGUUUGCUAUAUAUCAAAGCAGUUGAUUUUUACAUAUUUCUAAAGGUACUUGUCAGUACUACAGCACUAAGGAGCAACCUUACAUCAACCAAACUUACAAAUCAGCACUAAAGGAAAGUGGGGAGAUUUUUUUGCUAAGGAAACCUUCUCCAAGGAUCCCUUACACAGUGAAUUAAAAAAGGAACGUUUUAGAUAAGACAAUCUCCAGGUGUAUUUCUUAAAUUAACUCAAUAGUGGCAAAGUAAAUACUUUCAGAAUUAUUUCCAUGAGUAUUUGGUCAAAUAAAACAAUUGAACUGAACUCAGCCUUAUCCACACCUCCAUUUGUUUGCUUUUCACAAAUAUUCUAACAAGUGAGUUCAGUGGCUAGAUUAUCUGAGGUUACCUUUACUCACAUUGAAUAGUGAAUCCAUGAAUAAUCCUACUGAAGGUAAUGGGCUGCUUUGUGAAGAAAGGCACUACUCCACAUAAGUAAGGAUAUCAACAGCUGCCUCUACAUUAAUAUUAAAGAAUAUUCACAGAAACCAAAUUUUGAUCUCAAACUCUUCCAAACUGUAUCGAUGCAACUACAUAGAACUAGUUUUGAACAUCAGAUGUAGUGAAUGGCUGACAAGCAAUCUGCGGACUCAGAAUGAUUUGCACAAAUUAUUUGGUGAAUAAUUUCAAAUAAUAAACUAGAGAAAAUCUUAUGGUGCUUGUGGGACAAUCCACAAGCAGAAAAAGAUGCUCAAUUCAAAUGUUAUUUAUUCACUCAGCUAUACUUUGAUAACUAAGAGUUACUCUCUGAUAAUGUUUGAUCUGGUUGAGUGCAUUUAGAACAUAAAUUUAGACAUACACUGAGGCCUAAUUGUGAUACAUCCAUAUACAGCUUACUGUUAUGUAUAAGAGAGACAAGGUGGGUGAGGUAGUAUCUUUUAGUGGACCAACUCCUGUUGGUGGAAGGGACAAGCUUUGGAGCAUGGAACGAGAAUGCCCAAGUUAAAUACAAGGUGGGACAGACUGUUUAAGAAUAGGGGGUUCGUACAUGUUGUAGGAAACCACUUAAAAUGAAGUGGGCAAUUAACAUCUCUGCAGUCAUAGGACACUGAAGGGUUUGUAAGUAGCAGGGUGUGUUGCAAAUUGUUGUAAUGGGCCAUAAAACCAUGGACUCUGUUAAGUCCAUUGUUUUUUAGUGUCCAGGAGAGUUAUGAAUUUAAAUUCCCAGGCUUGUCUCUUGAAGAUGUUGUGCAGGUUUCCUUUGAGGAUGAGGACUGAGAGGUUAGAUAUGAAGUUAUUGCUUUGUAAGAAGUGUUUGCCCAUGGGUGAUGUGGUGUUUUUGUCAUUUAUAAUUUUUUACAACAUGCCUUUCAAGAUCCAUAAGUCCUACACAUGCCUAUCACAGUAAGUGGUGUCUCUCAUCCAAUGCAUCAAAUGCCGCAACAACACCUCUAUGGGUGAAACCAAUCACUAUGCUCUCAAAUGAACUCUCACCAAAAAAUGAUAAACACAUGUUUUGUCUAUCACCCGUGCGAGAAUACUUUUCACAUAGCGAUCACUCCGUAUUUGACCUCUCAGUCUUCAUCCUCAUAGGAAACCUGCACAACACCUUCAAGAGAUGAGCAUGGGCGCACUUAGGCCUGAUCUACACUAAAAAAUUAAGUUAGCUUAACUAUAUCGCCCAGGGGUGUGAAAAAAAUCGACACCCCUGAACAGCGUGGUUAAACUGACCAAAUCCCCAGUGUAGACAGCAGAAUUCUCCUAGCUACUGCCUCUCUGGCAGGUGGAUUACCUAUACUGAUGGGAGAAUCCCUCCUGUCAGCAUUGGUAGUGUCUAUAUUGAAGUGCUAGAGCCAUGCAGCUAUGCCACUAAAGCAUUUCAAAUAUAGACAAGCCCUUAAAUUCAAAACUGCUGGACACUAAAAACCAUGGACUUGAGACACUGAUUUUAUGGCCCAUUUCAAGACUCUGUAACAUACCCUGCUACCUCCACUGUCCUACCCUCCCACUACUACCUCUCCAUUUUCCUAGGAGUGCAGGGGUGUUACUUGCCCACUUCAUUUUAAGUGGUCUCCUACAACCUGUGAACCCAUUAUGUUUAACAAUCUGUCUCCUCUUGUAUUUUGCUUGGACACCUCCGUUACCUUCUCCAGACAUGAGGAAGAGUUCUGUGAAGCUUUAAAUGUUGUCCCUUCUACCAACAAAAGUUGGUCCAAUAAAAGAUAUUACCUCACCUGCCUUGUCUCUCUUACAUCUCUCAACAUAGCUACAAUGCUACCACAAAAAACCAGUCACACUCAAGUGUGCUGUUGUACCAUCUCAGACUGAUUGCAUCAGGGCUGGACUUGUCUGAUACUCAUAUGAGAGAUCUUCAUGAAAAAUACAGGUUGAUGCACAAAAUGGUGUUGAUAAUUUUAGAUAAGAAAUCUCAAGGUCCUGAAUACUUGCAGUCCUUAAAGUUCCUAAGUCAUUUUCUACAAGAACAGGAAUGCAAUCCUGGCCAAACUCCAGAUCACACACUUAUACAUUCUAUUUGCUGAAAGUCCCCAUACAGUUUCAGUAUGCUUCACUUCCGGUCCUAAGUAGCUACUUAUUUAGUGUUGCUACAUGGUGUUUAAUUUCUGCUGUGGAGGUUGGUGGCAUGUCAGUGGAAGGUGAAGGGAUUCCUGUACAUGUAUUCAUACAUAAAAUGACAAUUUCAAAGUUGUUCUGAUGUAUGUUUAUUGAAGUACUCCUAAAGAUUGAUUAGUAAAUAUGGUAAAACUUGAACAUCAACAUAGAUGGCAGGUGGAGUUUUACGACAACAGCAAUUAGAGUAAAAGGAAAAACGAUACAGCAUUUGAGUAUGGUACUCAGUUGGAACAGAUGAAGUAAAAUCCACAUGCAGAAAAUAAAUUCACAUGGACUAAAUCUUUCGGGGGGGGCGGGGGGCGGGAGAAAUAAGUUUUAUAGGACGUUGUGAAGUUAGUGUAGAUUUAAACUCCAUUAUAGUAAAAUUGCAAUACUCUACAUUAGCGAUAUAGUCUUCCUUCGACUAUGAAAAUCAGUUAUUUCAUUGGUGCGUGCCUGCUGCAGCUGACAUUAAACAGCAGCACAAUACAGCUCCAGUUCAAUAAUGAGACUUCAACUGAAAAGCAUUUGUUUAUAUGUUGUGAUUCACUCUGGUUUCAGUGUCACGGCACUGGCAUUUUGAAUAGGAGGUUUGUGUUCCUUUUAACGGUUUACUCAAACAGGAGAAACAGCAAGACCUGUAUCUGGCCACCUUUAUGUUAAUAAUACAACUGGCCUAUGCUACGUUUUCGGUACUGACGUAUUGUACAAGGAUAUGUGGGAGGUUGGAUUGCCACAAUGGUUGCCAUUAAAAAGAAACCCUAGCUGACAAUAGCUCAUCUUUAAUUAAUUAGCCUCUUAGAGUUGGUAGGGGAACUCCCACCUUUUCAUGUUCUCUAUUUGUGUGUGUAUAUAUAUAUCUAUCUAUCUCCUCACUAUAUGUUCCAUUCUAUGCAUCCGAUGAAGUGGGCUGUAGCCCACGAAAGCUUAUGCUCAAAUAAAUUUGUUAGUCUCUGUACUCCUGUUCUUUUCGCUUUUGCCAUCAGUCACCACAACAGUGGUAUCCGAGAACAGGUAAUAAUAGAAUAGA